UAAUAAUGGAACUUCCAACGCUUCUAUGAAGUCGUCUGAUUUCAGUGUGUCUGAGAUGUCAUGGUGCAAAUGAGGCCUAUAUAGGACCAAGCCCCCACGCACUCUUAGUCAAGGGUUCCACACUCAGCACGUUACCAGCCUCACUCAUGGCAGUACAGGGGUUAUUAGGAUUUCUCAGAAAGACUUCUGAGAAACCAGGAUUAGUAAGUGCGCUGUGUUCACACACCAGCUAUAGCCUGUAGCACAGAAGCCGUGCCUGCUCUUCCAACACAUCGCAGUGAUACUCAGUUAUAAGGGGAUUAAGGAUAAGGAAAAAA